CGUUCGUGCCAAAUGGUUUCAUCGUUUGUGCAGUUCAUUCUUUGUGUGAUCAACAUGCUCACUUUGGGGUUGUCGUGCAACUUUAGGCGCUCACACUUAGACGAAAUUACAAAAUGUGAUUCCAAGCUACCAGUACGGUUGCAGAGAAUAAAUUUUUCGAAGCACAGGAUUUCCAUCGCAUUCGUAGUUGUUUUUGGCGGAGCGAGGAGAGACGAUCACCACGAUUCUGAUUUCACAGUCGGUUCAUUAUUAUCACGACCA
rnacentral:pre_miRNA from 1 species